rnacentral:tRNA from 1 species
AAUGAGGAGCCUGAUUAAAGGGCUAUCUUGAUAGGAUAGAUUAUGUAAAUUUCAUUUACUCUCAUUA